UGGGGUGAGUUUACGUUAGCUAGUUGUUUUUCAUUUUUAAAACCAAUGCGUUUGAAAAUGUUUCUCGUUUCUAGUCCUCAUCUGUUCAUGCACCAGAUUGGAAUGCAAAGUUUGUUUGCUCAAGGCAAUGGCCAGCCUCAGCAUCGUAUUCACCACAGCACCAUGUGGAUGUGAUAGUCAUGGAGGGCCAGGAGUGAGACACUCCAUCGGUGCCAAGUUUGGGCCGCAGACAUGAAGCUUUUGUAGGUUCUAGCUGUAAUGGGUGCCAAGGACCUGAAGUCGACAGUGUGGCGGAUGCUACCUUGCAAUCUGUCAAACCGUCUCGCCAUCGUCAUAACCUGGAUUGGGGCAGGGGAUAAGGCCUGUGUCAGGGACUUGUUUCUGAAGACCAUUCUAUUUUUAAAUGUGUUCCAUUUGUUUUCUGUACUUUUUAAGUUUAAAAAAAAAGUCACUACGACACUUCAGGAGAGUCACCAAGAAGGUAACCCAGUAGGAUCAAUAGGAUGUAAAAAGUGAAACAGCAAAGGUACUAAAUAUGGGUCAACAUUUUUUGUGGUGGAGUUUUUUUUUUAUCUCCUAGAUAUAGGACAAACACUUCAAAACGUUAUUGCUUAUUAUUUAUUUUUGGACUGUCUGUUUUGCCAUUUUUUUAAUGUGUUAUACAAUGUGUUUCUAUGGGCUAUAGCAGUAAAGAACACAUGUAAUAUUUUAUCAAAUCAUUUUUGUAUAUAUUUUUUAUACUGACAGGGGUUCUAAAAUUCUACAUCAAAUAGCUAAAUGAUCCAUGGUAUGACCAUCUUAAAACAAUUCCAUAUGUUAGCUUAGAUAUCGCGAACACAGGGCUUAGACUUACACUCACAGGUUUUUAAUGCAGCAGCAAACAUUGUCACUGAUUCUCCCUCUUCCUGGUUUCUUCUGUGGAACCUAAACCUUUCAGAAAUAACUAGUGGUUUUGGUGAAAAGUGUCCUUUCAGUAUUUCCACAAUAUCUUCAUAUAGUGACUUGGGAAAGUAUACAGUCCCUUGGACUUUUUCAAAAAAAUUCUACAUUACAACCUUAUUCUAAAAUGGAUUAAAUACUUUUUUUCAGCAAUCUACACACAAUACCUCAUAAUGAC